UGGGGAAUUUUGGACAAUGGGGGCAACCCUGAUCCAGCAAUGCCGCGUGUGUGAAGAAGGCCUUCGGGUUGUAAAGCACUUUUGUCCGGAAAGAAAACGCCGUGGUUAAUACCCGUGGCGGAUGACGGUACCGGAAGAAUAAGCACCGGCUAACUACGUGCCAGCAGCCGCGGUAAUACGUAGGGUGCAAGCGUUAAUCGGAAUUACUGGGCGUAAAGCGUGCGCAGGCGGUCCGCUAAGACAGAUGUGAAAUCCCCGGGCUUAACCUGGGAACUGCAUUUGUGACUGGCGGGCUAGAGUAUGGCAGAGGGGGGUAGAAUUCCACGUGUAGCAGUGAAAUGCGUAGAGAUGUGGAGGAACACCGAUGGCGAAGGCAGCCCCCUGGGCCAAUACUGACGCUCAUGCACGAAAGCGUGGGGGAGCAAACAGGAUUAGAUACCCCUGGUAGUCCACGCCCUAAACGAUGUCAACUAGUUGUCGGGUCUUCAUUGACUUGGUAACGUAGCUAACGCGUGAAGUUGACCGCCUGGGGAGUACGGUCGCAAGAUUAAAAACUCAAAGGAAUUGACGGGGUCAUAGCUGUUUCC
rnacentral:rRNA from 1 species